GUAGCAACAAGCGGCGGGGCGCAUUACCGCCAUCUAUGCGAAAAUCAUCUCGGUUUCCUCUUCGGGUUUUUGCAUUUUGCCAGCUGUCCGACGGGAUGACUGCAUUAAUUAUAAUCCAGCUACCAGCGGCUAUGCUGAAGCUGUCGUGGUCCAUCAGCUGCUGUAAGGAGGACGUGAUGAAGCCGACCGAUGAUCAGUGUGCACGCGGUCUGCGUCAAUAUGAUGAACACAACAUAUGAUGGUUCAAUCACCAUUGUUGAUGCAGACUUGUAUCGUUGGAGCUGAAUGACUGUCCAGAGAGCUGUGAUGUGCAGCAGCAGGUUGUGCCCUGCUGUUUCCAAUAAAACUCGUCUGUGUCAGAUUCUCCCAUUUCCACUCGCACUGCAAAAGCUGGUGAUGUUUGAAUACUUUUAGAAAAUUAAACUUGUGAUCUCUGCACAGAAGAGUGAGAGAAGGAAGGAAGCUGAAGUUGUUAAUGAAGGAGGGAGAGAGCGAGAUAUUCCCGUACAUCCAAAUACAUGCAUACAAUUAGCAUAAAAGUGUUAUUUCAGAAAAGAUUAGUUGGAACUAAAAGUCACUGUUUUUGGAAAUGUCUCCUUUGGCGUUUAAUUUAAAAAAAAAAAAAAAAGUCAAGAAAUGUAGUAACAAAACCAUAAAAAUGGUGCCAUCUACAUUUUCCAUCCAGUUAUGUUACACAGACUGGUGACAUGUCCAGGAUGUACCUGUCACCAUGUUACAGCUGGACAGGCACCAGUCCCAUGUGACACUGUUAUUUCAUGGGAAAUUAAUUUUAACACUAUAUUUUUUCACCACAAAUCGUUGAAUUGUUAGACUUUUACUAGAAAUGCAACUCAAUCUUUGUUGUCAGCCAUGCAAAAUAGUUGGCAAUGAUACCAAUUAAAUGAAAUGUGAAACAUUUUUGGUUA